GAUGAACGCUGGCGGCAUGCCUUACACAUGCAAGUCGAACGGCAGCACGGGUGCUUGCACCUGGUGGCGAGUGGCGAACGGGUGAGUAAUACAUCGGAACGUACCUUAUCGUGGGGGAUAACGCAGCGAAAGCUGUGCUAAUACCGCAUACGCCCUGAGGGGGAAAGCGGGGGAUCGCAAGACCUCGCGCGAUUAGAGCGGCCGAUGCCUGAUUAGCUUGUUGGUGGGGUAAAAGCCCACCAAGGCGACGAUCAGUAGCUGGUCUGAGAGGGCGAUCAGCCACACUGGGGCUGAGACACGGCCCAGACUCCUACGGGAGGCAGCAGUGGGGAAUUUUGGACAAUGGGGGCAACCCUGAUCCAGCAAUGCCGCGUGAGUGAAGAAGGCCUUCGGGUUGUAAAGCUCUUUUGUCAGGGAAGAAACACCGGCUCUAACACAGUCCGGGAAUGACGGUACCUGAAGAAUAAGCACCGGCUAACUACGUGCCAGCAGCCGCGGUAA
rnacentral:rRNA from 1 species